AUCGAUGCACUGCUCUCAGGCGAGAUUGAACACGAAAAAGUGCAUCAAGGUGUGAAUAAGGAAGAAGUCACCUUUGUCGGUUUUCAAAUUGAGGACCAACUGUGCUCCGAAAGUGAGAGAAGAGAUCUCAAAAGACGACACCCACAUCAAGAGAAACAGACGAAGCAGCUCAAGCAGAGCUAG
rnacentral:rRNA from 1 species